CCCCCCCCUUUUUUUUCCCUUUUUACCCUUUUCUUUUUCUGUUUUUCUCAUUUCUUUGAUAUCUUUUGAGUUUGAACUCCAAAUUGGUCCAAAUAAAUCCCAGAAAAUUUGUAAAAUCAUGUUCUACCAUGAUACAACUUUUGGAAGUAGUUUCUCUUCAAAAUAAAAUAUAUAAAUAUACAUUUGCCCUAUAAAUGCCUUUAGGGCUAUAUAUCCAUUUAAAUAAAAUACUUUUUCAACUCCAAAUAAUUAUCCAAAAAUUAUGGGAUAGCUUAUAUACGCAAUAAACCCCUUUUAUACUUAAACCUUAAUGGUUUGAAGAUCCAA
rnacentral:lncRNA from 1 species